GCAGUGUGCAGAGAGGACACUCUGACAGAGGCACCGCUGCCCAGCAGCCUCUGCUGAUCGUCUUUUCCUUCCAAUCUGC
rnacentral:pre_miRNA from 1 species